UUACUUAAUUUUUGCGUAGUCUUACAAUC
rnacentral:sRNA from 1 species